rnacentral:rRNA from 1 species
AACGAACGCUGGCGGCAUGCCUAAUACAUGCAAGUCGAACGAGAUCUUCGGAUCUAGUGGCGCACGGGUGCGUAACGCGUGGGAAUCUGCCCUUGGGUUCGGAAUAACGUCGGGAAACUGACGCUAAUACCGGAUGAUGACGUAAGUCCAAAGAUUUAUCGCCCAAGGAUGAGCCCGCGUAGGAUUAGCUAGUUGGUGGGGUAAAGGCCCACCAAGGCGACGAUCCUUAGCUGGUCUGAGAGGAUGAUCAGCCACACUGGGACUGAGACACGGCCCAGACUCCUACGGGAGGCAGCAGUAGGGAAUAUUGGACAAUGGGGGCAACCUUGAUCCAGUAAUGCCGCGUGAGUGAUGAAGGCCUUAGGGUUGUAAAGCUCUUUUACCCGGGAUGAUAAUGACAGUACCGGGAGAAUAAGCCCCGGCUAACUCCGUGCCAGCCGCCGCGGUAA